AAUGAACUAGCUCAGUUGGGAAACCAUUAGAUUAUACAUCGAAAGGUCCCUGGUUCAAUCCCGGGUUCCGGCA
rnacentral:tRNA from 1 species